UUAGAACAGCAAGCCGCUCUUUCACAGAUCUUUAGAAGAGCUUUAAAAGAUGCCGAGCCGCUCUUUUCCAGAUGUUUAGAAGAGCUUUAAAAGAUGCCGAGCCGCUCUUUCCCAGAUCUUUAGAAGAGCUUAAAAAGACGUUUUCAUGCCAUGAUCACUGGGGCGGAAACCAUUAUGACGUUGCCUUGGACAUCAAACUAAACCAUCUCAUUCUGGCUUUUUUCUAACAUCGAAAUCUCAGAAGGCCAGGACUAAGAUGGACGCAGCCUCCACAUGCAACCUUGCAUUUGAGGAACACCCAUAGAACGGUCAACUUACCCCAUACUCUAACCUGAAUGCAGGGAUCAUAAAACUUUAUCUUUUACCUUAAUUGUUAGAUGGGUGUUGAUACCAAACUUUUUUGUCUCGUCUACCCAGGAGAAAGUCAUGGGUUCUGCUGCUGAGGUUGUCAUAAAGCAUGCUUUUUCCAUUUGUUGCAUUGGGCAAUAUUAUCAAAAGAUUCUGAAAGAAAUAAGAUAAUUUUCAAAGCAUUAACAUGAAUAUGAAAGCAUUAAGUCAUUAAUGAUCAUCUUUUAUUAUUGUUUAUUUAUAGUGUCUUUUAUUCUGCUUACCUGACUCAUGCAGAAUUCUGGCUUGAUGUUUGGUCCACCUGUUAGCUGGCUCUGGUGCUUGGUAGUCUUCUCAAACCUCUGAAUCAAGGCCACCAUGAGAGGCCUUCUGAAGACCAUCAUUACGCUUCAGAUCCAGUUGUCUUAACUAUGAGCCUACCACAAUCCCUGUGCACCAGCUAUGGAAAGUGCAGACCAAACUUCUACCUCCACCUAUAGAACUGAACUGGAGUCUGUGAACUAAUGCUGUGUUCGAGACAACUGGAACAGCAAACAAAAUCCUUUCUCUUUUUAAUGCAGCACUUAAGGAUGAACCACCCUGAUCUACUAAGAUGCACAGAUUCAACUCUGGCCCAGCAUCAUCCCCACACCUCAUCUGCCAUCAGUUUAAUUUAAUGUCUGUCAAUUGCAAAUGCUAUUUAUUUCAGUUAUAUUACAACUUAAUGUUAACUUUAAUUGAGACUAGUAUUGUGUAAAGCUGGGGUUUCCAAACUUUUCAUUUCAAAACCUAUUAGACAAGUGUAAUCUAUUCUAGACCCACUAAAAUAUUUUUACAUAUACAUUUUUUUAAUGGGGUAAAACACAUUUGUUCUCUUUCAGUGGAGUCAUUUUAUUUUCAUAAUAUUUCAUAAUGUAAAGCAGUGGUUCUUAACGUUAUUCCUCGAGGCCCACUGCUCUGCACAUUUUGUAUGUCUCUUUUAUCUGACAGACUCAGUUCAGUUCAUUGAGAUCUCUUCUAAUGAGCUGAUGAUUUGAAUCAG